UUCGGGUGGCGUGGUUGAGCAUCUCCUGCCAGGUGGGGUCGAGGCGGUUUUUGGCUGCCAGCAGCCCCUGCUCGGCCACCAGCACCAUCUCGCGCGCCGCCCCGUGCGUGCCCACCGCCCGCUCGUAGCGCAGCGCCGCCCGCUGCGUCUCCUGCUGCGCCUGCCGGACCCAAAAACGCCCAAAUUUAACCCAAAAAUUGAGAUGGGGGAGGAGGAGAGGGGAGCGGAGAGGGUGGAGGAAAUUGGGGUUAAAAGGGAAGCAGGGGGGAGGCUGGAGUCGUAUUGGGGUGGUGGGACCCCAAAACUUCAUCUGGUGGUGGUGGGGUCCCAAAGUGUCAUUGGGGUGGAGGUGGGACCCUAAAACCCACAGAUUUACCCCAAAAAUUGAGGCGGGGCCCCAAAAUGUCAUUGGGGUGGAGGUGAGACCCCAAAGGUUCAUGGGGUGGUGGUGGGGUCCCAAAACUUUGUGGGGUUGUGGUGGGAUCCCAAAGGUUCAUGGGGUGGUGGUGGGGUCCCAAAAUCUCAUUGGGGUGGAGGUGGGACCCUAAAACCCGCAGAUUUACCCCAAAAAUUGAGGUGGGGCCCCAAAAUGUCAUUGGGGUGGUGGUGGGGUCCCAAAAUGUCAUUGGGGUGGAGGUGGGACCCCAAAGGUUCAUGGGGUGGUGGUGGGGUCCCAAAAUCUCAUUGGGGUGGAGGUGGGACCCUAAAACCCACAGAUUUACCCCAAAAAUUGAGGCAGGACCCCGAAAACGCAAAGAUUUAACCCAAAAAUUGAGGUGGGACCCCAAAGGUUCAUGGGGUGGUGGGGGGGUCCCACCGCCCGCUCGUAGCACAGCGCCGCCCGCUGCGUCUCCUGCUGCGCCUGCCGGACCCAAAAACGCCAGAAUUUAACCCAAAAAGUGAGAUGGGACCCAAAAAAGCAAGAAUUCACCCCAAAAAUUGGAAAAAAGGGGAAGGGAGGGGAGAGGGUGGAGGAAAAUGAAUGGAGAAGAUGGGAGUUGGAUUGGGGGUGGGAGGCCAAAAUUUUGGGGGGGACCCCAAAACCCCAACUUAUUGUGUCAAAUGACCCCAAAACCCCACCCUACGUCACCAGUUGACCCCAAAACCCCACCCUAUGGGGCCAGUUGACCGCAAAACCCCAUCCUAUUGUGCCAGUUGACCCCAAAACCCUAAGUUAUGAUUCCAGUUGACCCCAAAACCCCAACUUAUUGUGUCAAAUGACCCCAAAACCCCAUCCCAUGGCUCCUGUUGACCCCAAAACCCCACCCUACAGCACCAAUUGACCCCAAAACCCCAUCCUAUUGUGCCGAUUGACCCCAAAACCCCAUCCUACAGCAGCAGUUGACCCCAAAACCCCAUCCUAUGGCACCAGUUGACCCCAAAACCCCAUCCUAAAAUCCCAGUUGACCCCAAAACCCCAUCCUAUGGCACCAGUUGACCCCAAAACCCCAUCCUAAAAUCCCAGUUGACCCCAAAACCCCAUCCUAUGGCGCCAGUU
rnacentral:lncRNA from 1 species